ACUUUAAGAGACUGCCGGUGUUAAACCGGAGGAAGGUGGGAGUGACGUCAAAUCGAUCAUGCCCCUUAUGUCUUGGGCUUCACGCAUGCUACAAUGGCCGGUACAAAGGGCUGCGAUACCGCGAGGUGGAGCGAAUACCCAGAAAGCCGGUCUCAGUUCGGAUUGGGUCUGCAACUCGACCCCAUGAAGUCGGAGUCGCUAGUAAUCGCAGAUCAGCAACGCUGCGGUGAAUACGUUCCCGGGCCUU
rnacentral:rRNA from 1 species